UAUAUAUAUACGGGUCAAUAGUGAUGUAGGGAAUUAAACACAGGUAUACACAUGGGCCAGAAGUCAUGUGGGGAAGUAAACACAGGUAUAUAUAUAUACAGGUCAAUAUUGAAGUAGGGAAUUAAACACAGGUAUACACAUGGGCCAGAAGUCAUGUGGGGAAGUAAACACAGGUAUAUAUAUAUACAGGUCAAUAUUGAAGUAGGGAAUUAAACACAGGUAUACACAUGGGCCAGAAGUCAUGUGGGGAAGUAAACACAGGUAUAUAUAUAUACAGGUCAAUAGUGAAGUGGGGAAUUAAACACAGGUAUACACAUGGGCCAGAAGUGAUGUGGGGAAGUAAACACAGGUAUAUAUAUAUAUAUAUACGGGUCAAUAGUGAAGUAGGGAAUUAAACACAGGUAUACACAUGGGCCAGAAGUGAUGUGGGGAAGUAAACACAGGUAUAUAUAUAUAUAUAUAUAUACGGGUCAAUAGUGAAGUAGGGAAUUAAACACAGGUAUACACAUGGGCCAGAAGUGAUGUGGGGAAGUAAACACAGGUAUGUAUACACCCGUGCAUUAAUUAAGCACAAGCCUAUUUUGAAAAUAAGAUGUGAUGCUACAGAAAAGUUAGGGUAUAGCCAUCAAUUUAGUCAACCUGUAGUUAAAGAAGCUUUAUCCACUGACAGUUUUACAAAUACCAUAACCUUUUUUAUUCUUUAUGAAAGAAAAAUACGUGAUAAAAAUGUGACGGGACUGAUUUUUUACCCAAACUAAUUAUUCCUUUCCUGCUCAAACUACACAAUUCAGUUUUGACUAAAAAUAACAAUUCUGUUAUAUAUCAAGAUGACAUUUACACAUCAAGUAAGCUUUAAUUAUGCAUAUUCAGGAAGAACCUGAAUGUCAGAGAUUCAGACUUUUUUCCAACAAUGCAGAUUGCUAAUUGACAAAAACUGAAAAAAAGGCCACAUUAAUAAGAUUUUGGAAUACAUUUUUUUAUGAUUUUGAU